AUUGAACGCUGGCGGCAGGCCUAACACAUGCAAGUCGAACGAGUGGCGGACGGGUGAGUAAUGCCUGGGAAACUGCCUGAUGGAGGGGGAUAACUACUGGAAACGGUCGCUAAUACCGCAUACCAUCAGUGGUGCCUAGUUGGGAUUGGCGAGUUGGCGGGGUAAUGGCUCCCCAAGGCGACGAUCCCUAGCUGGUCUGAGAGGAUGACCGGCCACACUGGAACUGGGACACGGUCCAGACUCCUACGGGAGGCAGCAGUGGGGAAUAUUGCACAAUGGGCGCAAGCCUGAUGCAGCCAUGCCGCGUGUAUGAAGAAGGCCUUCGGGUUGUAAAGUACUUUCAGCGGGGAGGCGUUACCCGCAGAAGAAGCACCGGCUAACUCCGUGCCAGCAGCCGCGGUAAUUC
rnacentral:rRNA from 1 species